rnacentral:rRNA from 1 species
AUUGAACGCUGGCGGCAUGCCUUACACAUGCAAGUCGAACGGCAGCGCGGGAGCAAUCCUGGCGGCGAGUGGUGAACGGGUGAGUAAUACAUCGGAACGUGCCCAAUCGUGGGGGAUAACGCAGCGAAAGCUGUGCUAAUACCGCAUACGAUCUACGGAUGAAAGCAGGGGAUCGCAAGACCUUGCGCGAAUGGAGCGGCCGAUGGCAGAUUAGGUAGUUGGUGAGGUAAAGGCUCACCAAGCCUUCGAUCUGUAGCUGGUCUGAGAGGACGACCAGCCACACUGGGACUGAGACACGGCCCAGACUCCUACGGGAGGCAGCAGUGGGGAAUUUUGGACAAUGGGCGAAAGCCUGAUCCAGCCAUGCCGCGUGCAGGAUGAAGGCCUUCGGGUUGUAAACUGCUUUUGUACGGAACGAAACGGUCUUUUCUAAUAAAGAAGGCUAAUGACGGUACCGUAAGAAUAAGCACCGGCUAACUACGUG